rnacentral:lncRNA from 1 species
CAGGACUGCUGUGCUGUGUGUGAUGUAAUUCUUUCCCCUGGCCCUCACACCCUCUUUCUAAAAACCCGACUGAUUACAAGUGUUGUUAAAAGUUACUGAACUAGAAAAACAAACCACACUGUGGCUGUUGUGUCACUAAUUACAGAUGGUACUGUGUUGGGAACAAUUGUUCUGGUACCUCCAUGUUUCUCUGACGCGCCAUCAAAAAGUGGGCUGUUUCUCUUUGGCCAUUCAUAAGAAAGGAUUACUGACAAUCUAGAAACUUCUAUCAGCUUUCUUUUCUAUCCCGAACUAAUAUGAAACCAUUUCUCAAGUAUCAGCUUUUCAACAAAAGUCUUCAGUGCAUGACCUUGUGUCAUGAAAACCAGUGCAGCAGAUUGGAUCCUGAGGUCUCUCGGUGCUGUAAAUCACACCAUUAAAUCUGCCAUGAGCAACAGAGGCUGUUGGAAAGAAGAGAAAGAAAACGUGGUGAUGAAUCUCAGUUUCUGAUACACGCCGGAUGCUGAUGACACAGAAACAUUGCCUGGAAUCUGGCCAGUCUGAGUGCUACGGUCGGGGGAAAGUUGAAAAUUCUAGACCAUUUAAAUUAUUUUGGCCUUAUAAUCUACCGAGCUCUUUGAGGAUAAUGAUUAUGUGUUUUAUCACCAUAACCGCUGGCUCAAGAAAGAUUUCUUAUAUAUGGAAUUUUCUCAGAAAAUACGUGUUCCUGUUGGUAUAUUUUACUUCCUGAAAAGAUAAGUCCUUCAAGGAAGCCCUACUUUUCUAAGCCAGCCCUGCAACUGGAUACUGCACCAUUGCAAACACUAUGGCACAUCGACCGACAGUGAUUUUUCUCUGGAUGGAGACUUAACAGGAGUUGUGCUGGACUCUGGUUGAUGACUUUUAUGAAGACACUGGAUACAUGAAAUUCAAAACAAGAAGAAA